UACGUAGGGACCGAGCGUUGUCCGGAAUCAUUGGGCGUAAAGAGCGUGUAGGCGGCUAUUUAAGUCCUGCGUGAAAUCCUGCGGCUCAACCGCAGACGGUCGUGGGAAACUGGAUGGCUAGAGUGCGGGAGAGGAGAGUGGAAUUCCCGGUGUAGCGGUGAAAUGCGCAGAUAUCAGGAGGAACACCAAUAGCGAAGGCAGCUCGCUGGGACGUUACUGACACUGAGGCGCGAAAGCGUGGGGAGCGAACAGG
rnacentral:rRNA from 1 species